GUAGGUGGCAAGCGUUGUCCGGAAUUAUUGGGCGUAAAGCGCGCGCAGGCGGUUCUUUAAGUCUGAUGUGAAAGCCCACGGGCUCAACCGUGGAGGGUCAUUGGAAACUGGAGAACUUGAGUACAGAAGAGGAAAGCGGAAUUCCACGUGUAGCGGUGAAAUGCGUAGAGAUGCGGAGGAACACCAGUGGCGAAGGCGGCUUUCUGGUCUGUAACUGACGCUGAGGCGCGAAAGCGUGGGGAGCAAACAGGAUUAGAUACCCUGGUAGUCCACGCCGUAAACGAUGAGUGCUAAGUGUUAGGGGGUUUCCGCCCCUUAGUGCUGCAGCUAACGCAUUAAGCACUCCGCCUGGGGAGUACGGCCGCAAGGCUG
rnacentral:rRNA from 1 species